GACAGAGGCCUCGAGCGUUAGGCGGAAUCACUGGGCUUAAAGCGUGUGUAGGCGGAUCGUUAAGUGCCUUGUGAAAUCCCACGGCUCAACCGUGGAACUGCUUGGCAUACUGGCGGUCUUGAGCCAUCUAGGGGUUGCUGGAACAAACGGUGGAGCGGUGAAAUGCGUAGAUAUCGUUUGGAACGCCAAUGGUGAAAACAGGCAACUGGGGAUGAGCUGACGCUGAGACACGAAAGCCAGGGGAGCAAACGGG
rnacentral:rRNA from 1 species